rnacentral:rRNA from 1 species
UGGGGAAUAUUGGUCAAUGGACGGAAGUCUGAACCAGCCAUGCCGCGUGCAGGAUGACGGCUCUAUGAGUUGUAAACUGCUUUUGUACCGGGGUAAAAUGCCUUACGAGUAGGGUUUUGAAAGUACGGUACGAAUAAGGAUCGGCUAACUCCGUGCCAGCAGCCGCGGUAAUAUGACACUGGGCUUAGGU